AUGUUAGUAUGUUAUCCUCUCGGUUUUGCUGGCCCCUCUUAUAAUGAAACAAGGGUGGAUAUUUGGAGGGAAUCAAUGAGGUUUUUGAACGUUGUUGUACUGCUGACUUUGGGCUUUAGAAUGCAGGUUCUAAUUAUGCCUAUUUUGGUGCAAAUUUUGGCCUGUUUUGUUUGGUGUUUAUGCUGA